AGUUAAUAAAUAACUAAGGAUCGUCAAUAAUGGAUGUAGCCACUUUCAAUAGCCAAAGAUGAAUAAUUAAAUGUAGUUCUCCGUAGUUUUUGUUUGUUUGUAGGAAACUCCCUCUUCACAGCUGUGAUGAAAAUGGCCGGCGGAGCGAGGGUAUGAAUAAAGAAGAGCUGUUCUGUUUAAAAUACAUCCUCCAGCUUUACUUUAUCUGAUCCAUUACAUAGUUUUUUUUUCACAGCCGGAUUCCUGCACACAAUGACGCAGUCACUGCACAUUACGCCGAGACUCGCUGAAAGACCGCAUUUGCAGUACCUGCCUGUACUAUGACGUCCUAAGACCCACUAUGAGCCGGUAUGAAGGAGCUUCCAGUACAACCAACCGGACCUUGCCUCAGCAUUGAGGAGUUCAGGAGACGGCAGAGAAGAAAGAGGCUGAUUGAAGCGGGACAGAUGACAUGGAUCCAUCCUUCCACAGCCAGGAGCUCAACAACCUGUGUGCCACACUUCAAAUAAGACUAGAAGCUACACUGGAUCUCACAGCUACACACCACAGACGUCUACACACCACAGACGUCUACACACUGGGGCAGAUUCGGACAGAGUCCCACAAAGAACAUAUGACCCAGAGGCUGCAAAGAGACAUUUCAAGCUUCACCUGAUUAGCUUUUCACUGGCUAGGCCAGUCGUGUUUGUACAAUAUUUGUGCUGUAUGUAAAUAAAGC